UCCGGUUUGUCACCGGCAGUCCCAUUAGAGUGCCCAACUGAAUGUAGCAACUAAUGGCAAGGGUUGCGCUCGUUGCGGGACUUAACCCAACACCUCACGGCACGAGCUGACGACAGCCAUGCAGCACCUGUGUUACGGCUCCCUUUCGGGCACACCUCCAUCUCUGGAGGCUUCCGUACAUGUCAAGGGUAGGUAAGGUUUUUCGCGUUGCAUCGAAUUAAUCCACAUAAUCCACCGCUUGUGCGGGUCCCCGUCAAUUCCUUUGAGUUUUAACCUUGCGGCCGUACCCCCCAGGCGGGGCACUUAAUGCGUUAGCUACGGCACGGAACCCGUCGAUAGGGUCCCGCACCUAGUGCCCAACGUUUACGGCGUGGACUAC
rnacentral:misc_RNA from 1 species